UUGAGAAUGUAAGUUUAGCACUAGAAUUGAAAAACAACAAUGCUAUUACACUUUUUUUUUCAUUUUCAUAUGGAACAAAAUUGGAAGGGAAUAUUUUCAGGAAAUGUUUACAAGGAACAACUCUACACUACACUCCUAUAGCGUCUAUAUGAACCAACACCAAGUUAAUAUUUAAUUUUUUUUUUUUAAAAAAAAAAAAGUUNN
rnacentral:lncRNA from 1 species